CCUACGGGGGGCAGCAGUGGGGAAUAUUGGACAAUGGGGGCAACCCUGAUCCAGCCAUGCCGCGUGUGUGAAGAAGGCCCUCGGGUUGUAAAGCACUUUCAGUGAGGAAGAACGCCUGGUGGUUAAUACCCAUCAGGAAAGACAUCACUCACAGAAGAAGCACCGGCUAACUCCGUGCCAGCAGCCGCGGUAAACGGAGGGUGCGAGCGUUAAUCGGAAUUACUGGGCGUAAAGCGCGCGUAGGUGGCUUGAUAAGCCGGUUGUGAAAGCCCCGGGCUCAACCUGGGAACGGCAUCCGGAACUGUCAAGCUAGAGUGCAGGAGAGGAAGGUAGAAUUCCCGGUGUAGCGGUGAAAUGCGUAGAGAUCGGGAGGAAUACCAGUGGCGAAGGCGGCCUUCUGGACUGACACUGACACUGAGGUGCGAAAGCGUGGGUAGCAAACAGGAUUAGAUACCCUAGUAUC
rnacentral:rRNA from 1 species